rnacentral:lncRNA from 1 species
CCCGGGCGCAGCGGCAGCAGCGUCUCCGGUCAACCUGGGAAGGAGCCCCACGACCAGGGCUGGACGCUCGCCCCAACAGAUCGCAGACUCUCGGGGUCCUGGGCUAGCACCCUGGCAACCAGAAAAAGAAUUAAGCACAGUGAUAAUAGAAACUAAAGGAAAAAGAUAAAAAGAACCUAUGGAUAUUCCUCUAGCGUGACAUUUAUUCUGGACGAAACAGACAUUUGGUCAACUUACAGAUGUGGAUAAACACAUUCCAGUAAAUACUGGGCAGUGGUUCCUGAAGUCUCACCCUUAUUUGAGGAAAAUUGACAACUGAAAAUGCCAAGGGAGGGAUAGUUAUCUUACUUCAAUGAUGAAAGCCAUGAAGAGCUAGCUACCCAUUCUCUGAAGAUGGUUCUGUGACCAUGUACAUGCAGGAAGCAUGAAAUGACUCAGCGUGUAUUAAAGAAAAGGAGAGAGCUCAUGAAUUUGCAUGAGAAAAAAUUAUUGAUGGGAAAUGAGGAUGUGGAGGAAAGAAAAUGGUGUUAUAAGCUUGGAAACUACAAAAAGACCUUCUUGUUUCAUGUAUGCACAUAAGAACGUUCUAUGUCAUUGAAAGGAACUCAUGUGGUGGGAGGAAAGAAUAGAUUCCUGAAAGAUGCUUCCUGACCUCCACAUGUAUGUGUCUGUGUGCAUGUGUGUGUGUGCACAUGUAACUAAAUGAAUAAAAGGCAAUAUAAAGAAAACAAUUUAUCAGGUGAAUUGCUACCAGGAGCCAGUUUUCCUUUAAAAGAUGGAUGAGUAAGAAGACCUAACAGAUGAUCAUUCAGCAGCAGAGGAGGGAGACCAGUUAGUUAUAUCCAUAGCUCUCUCUCCUCUUGUGUGUUCUCAUUCCUCAUGAAGCAUAUUACCUAAUCAACCAUCUUUUGUGUUCAUUCAAUCAUUGCCCUACCUGUGCCUCUGCUGGUCUCAGAGGUGACAGUACUUCUGAACUCCGAAGGCAUGUACAUACUCUGCGUUUCUCAUCCGACAAUAAGAUUCUAAGACUACAUCCAGAAGUGAUUGAUACCUCUUCCAAAUAAACAAUUGAAAUGUGACUUGUGUUCUGGGUGUUCUGAGACAACUCUUCCAAGUGGCACCUACAAUUCAGAUGUUAAGGAUUUCAGCUUUUGGAUACCUUCUCUGAUUUCACGAUGAGUUCAUAAGUUAAAUCGCUUUGAUAUGAAGCUAUGUCCUACUGGGCCUGGUCAUAGUCUGACUAAGUAACCACUAUUCAAGAACUCUGCCCAUCAUGGUACAUCAAGGUCACAUUUUGGUUGUUCUAUGACUCCUUGUUAGUGGAAUGACUUUGACCAAAAGUUAAGAGCUCUUCAAGUAGGAAGCUGAGCUUCACAGACUUCCAGCAACUUGCUAACAUCAGACAGCCAGUAAACGAGGGAGCCAAACUUCAAGACAAGAACCCAGUGAACAUUGAGUCUGUGCUUUUUCCAGCACAGCGUGAGAGAAAAGGGAUCUAAGAGUCUUGUCCUUGAAGAGGAAAGCUAUGCUUCAAGCAGAAAGAUUAAAUGAAGUUUGUCA